ensembl:lncRNA
CCAAACUGUCCGUAGCGGUGCAAUAUUGGUGAGUUUAUCACCAUUAAGUAGGCUACAAUCCGAUAAGACUAUGUUCAUGAAUAUGGCAAUCCAUAGAGGAAACUGGUCCUAACAACAUAAGCCAUAUAAAUAAACACUUUCACCGGUAGAAUACUAAUCAAAGGAACACAUUCCAGCUUUCAAUGCAAGUUUCAUUGCUUGACAUAUUGAUUUGAAUGUGUUUACUCCAUCUUCAGGGUUUCUUCUGCCUACAUCCUCUGCACCGCCCGCAAAAUAAAUUGGUUUAAUAACAGAAAAGAGGGUGAACUAUAUCUUCAAUGAAAUAAAGCUUUAAAUGAUACUGUUCUUCAGUAGCCUGGUCCUACCAGACCAUCGUACUUCAUUUCAUUUGUACAGAAGUUAAAUGAAAAUUGAGCGGAAGUAGGUAGGUGGGCGGUGCCAGGCUAGUUCUUCAGGUCCUAAUGUCUGCAAUAAAGUAUCAGGAGACACACGCAGGAAUGUUUCAGGAAAUGUAGUGCAUUUCUCAACAAUGGGCAAAUAUUUAAAAUGCAUUUUAUUUUCCUUUUACAAGAAAUAAAAGCAAACAGGAAAUUAGAUGUUGGGAAAGGGGGUGGGGAAAGCUGUAUAUAAAGAUGCAUCCUCUGGCUUCAUCAAAAGAUAUUUACAGUUGAAAAUAAUAUCCAUACAAAACAUGCCACAUAUAAUAAAAAUGAUCAUUUAUUCAUCGUCCCUAGAAGUCUCUGCUGUACAGAUGCACACCUUUUUUUAAAAAGUUGUUUAGGUUUAAAAAACAAACAAUUUGAGCAAUCUUAAAUUAUAAGAUACGCAGAGAAUUUAAAUUAAGAAUUCAGAGAAGGUAAAAAUCAUUGAGCCUAAAAUCCAGUGAGGGGCAUUGUAUUGAAUGUCUUCCCUUCGAGUAGAAACAUACCAAAAUAUAUUUAUAUAUAUAUAUCACUGCCUCAUGAUCUACCACUUUAGAGAAGUACUCUGUUCAUACUGAGAGUGCAAUCCAUUAUCUGGUAAAUACGGGAUUAAAUUUGAGUAUAACAUAACAUACAUUAGGCCAAGCAAACAUUUCACGAUAUAUAUAUGGUGGUGGUGCUGCUGCUGCAGCAUCAGGGCGCCAGGAGGGGCCUGCGGGUUGGGCUGUUGACCGGGCAUGCCCUGCAUGUGGCUGGGCAUGCCUGCCUGGUGCAUGGAGCUGAGCUGCUGCUGAUGUUGCUGUUGUUGCUGCUGCUGCUGCUGUUGUUGCUGCUUCUGCUGCUCCUUCUUCUCAUGCUCCAGUAGAUCCUGUAUGAGAAGAGGCAACUCCCCGUCUAAAGAGCUCUCUACCUUGGCCAUGUCUACAGAAGGAGAGGGUAGGAUAUUCCCCCUAAGCGAACAGAGCUGAGAGAGGCAGACGGAGCCUGCGGUUGUGUUUGCUUGCCUGAUGCACCCGUUCCACCCAGUAACAUGGAUACGGCCUCUCCCAUCUCGUCUUUGAUGACCAUCUGUCCGUCCUGAUGCUGUGGCAUUAGGCCUCGGUCCUCCAGUUUGAUUUUGGAGGUGCUGGCCGUCUCUGAGGGGGGAGCGUGAAGAGCUGAUGAGGCUGACGUAUCUGAAACCUGUCCAGGCUCCAGCUUGGGUUUCUGCUCCACCUUGAUGUCAGCAGAGCCAGAGGCAGUAGGCGCCUCGCUCUCCGCCUCCACCAAGCGGAGCUGGUCCGAGAACACGUCUUUUGGGUCCCCUUGGUCUAGCUCGGGGUCAGUGUAGGCCAGCAGAUCAAACUCGUCACUGUUCAGCAGAUCGUCAAGGUGUGGGUCAUUGGUUUCUAGAUUGUCAAGGUUACCCAGGUCGUCAUCUCCUUUGUCAGGGUCCAGGUCGAGGGCCAGGUCGUCGUCCUCCACACCGCCAUCCCCAGGGGCGUCCGAAAGGCCCUCCAGGUCAGGUUCAGGCAGGUCGACGCUCGGGUCAACCUGAGGCCCUAUGCUAGGCUGUGGAGGAUGAUGCUGCUGCUGCUGCUGCUGCUGCUGCUGCUGUUGUUGUUGCUGCUGCGGUUGUUGCUGCUGUUGCUGUGAUCCAGGAUGGUUGGACGAGUGAGCGAUUGUUUGUUGCGGAUGCUGGCCUUGUUGCGUUGCAGGGCAAGUGGGCAUCAACAUCGAUAGUCCUCCCUGCUGCAGCCCCAUCUGUGAGUCGCCAGCCCGGUCGACCUGCAUGGUAUGUUGCUGCACAUAAGGCGCUGCGAGGUCCUGUUGGGGAGGGCAGAGACGGGGUCUGGCCUGUGGCCCUCUGAGCAUGAAAUGGGGUCCGAGGGGCAACCUCUGAGCGUUGUGCCUUAACUCGAUGAACUGCGGUGGGGGUCCCUGCCCCAUUGGCUGCAUGGCCUCUCCGGGCCCGGCCAUCAUGCCACGGGGGUUCACCAUCCCCUGCAUGGCCUGCAUAUUGACGGCAGGGUUGAGGUGAUGCCGGGGGGGCAUGGAGUCCAUGCCAGGCGGUGGGAACCUCCGGGGGCCGGACGCCUGACCCUGCCACUGAGGAGGGAACGGUGGACGGCCAUACAUGGCUUGAGGGUUGCCGGGUCCGGGUUGUCU